GGGGCUGUAGCUUAGUGGUAGAGCACCCUGUCUUGCAUAUGUGAGGCACUGGGUUCGAUCCUCAGCACCACA
rnacentral:tRNA from 1 species